GGCGGAGGAGAGCCAACAGUGCGCUCGCCCAGCGGAGGUUUCACAUGGAAGAGAAGAAGCAAGAGAAUGAACCCCGGAUAGUGAGCCGGAUAUUUCAGUGUUGUGCCUGGAAUGGAGGUGUCUUCUGGCUUAGUCUCUUCUUGUUCUACCGAGUGUUCAUCCCCGUCCUUCAGUCGGUCACGGCGCAGAUCAUCGGUGGGUGCCUUUCCCCUUGGGGUGUUCCAGGGUGCUCAGCAGUCCAUGGGAUGAGUUUGGAGUCUUUGUCCACUGAACUGAUCCUCACACCUCUGUCCCCUUGUGUUGUUUUCCACUUCUUCCCAGUACCAACCAAUCCCAUCAUUAAUCAUCCAGUAGGAAACCAGGGGUGGAUCACCCUGCUGACAGCCUGUGCACAUCAGGGAUCCAGCCCAGGGGUCUUGCCAUUUCAAACACAUUUGUCUGUGUGUUUUUGCAUUUAAGUAAAA